rnacentral:sRNA from 1 species
AGCAGCCGCGGUAAUUCCAGCUCCAAUAGCGUAUAUUAAAGUUGUUGCAGUUAAAAAGCUCGUAGUUGAACCUUAGGCCCGUGCGGGCGGUCCGUCCUCUGGGCGAGCACUGCCUCGUCGCGGGUCUCACCUUCUGGCGAGCGUGGAUGCCAUUCAUUUGGUGUCUGCGGGGAACCAGGACCUUUACCUUGAAAAAAUUAGAGUGCUCAAAGCGGGCUCUUACGCUUGAAUACAUUAGCAUGGAAUAAUGAAAUAGGACGACGGUUCUAUUUUGUUGGUUUCCGGGAUUGUCGUAAUGAUUAAUAGGGAUAGUUGGGGGCAUUCGUAUUCAAUUGUCAGAGGUGAAAUUCUUGGAUUUAUUGAAGACGGACUACUGCGAAAGCAUUUGCCAAGGAUGUUUUCAUUAAUCAAGAACGAAAGUUGGGGGAUCGAAGACGAUCAGAUACCGUCGUAGUCUCAACCAUAAACUAUGCCGACUGGGAAUCGGGCGAUGUUAUUUUUCGUGUACUCGCUCGGCGCC